rnacentral:tRNA from 1 species
GGAAGAGUGAUAGAGCGGCUUAUUAUGCCUCCCUGCUAAGGAGUGCGGUCCUAACGGGCCACGAGGGUUCGAAUCCCUCCUCUUCCGCCA